UCCCAUACCCAUUACUGAUACGUAAACAUGCCCUGAAAUUAUUAUUUGGAAUAUAUAUCUCUCUCUCUAUACCCAUCGAUUCUCUUUGUCCAAACCCUAUCCCCAUUGAAUUUAUCUCCAAGCUCUAUCACCGUCGUAAGCACUCGGUUUCUCUCUAUACCCAUCGAUUCACCAUCGUAAGCACUCGUUUUCUUUCGCUCCAUUUUAGGUACCUCACACCUCUCUCUCUCUCUCUCUCUCUCUCUCUCUCUCUCUCUCCCCUUCUUCAAUUUAUUGAUUUUGCCUAUAAUUUCAGAUACACUUUCUUUGAAUUUGAAAGAUAUGGGAAUCUCGUAAUUUCAUAUACAACUUAGGGAUUGCCCAUUUGCUAAUGACUAAGCAAGUUGAUAUAGACUGCUAAGUUAAAUGUGUAAAUUCCCUUAGAAAUGUAAUUAGUUUGCAGCUCUGAUAAUGAUAAAAAGGCUCAUGCAUCAUCUAUUUUUGCUAUGUCCUACUGAUUCUUCUUUAUGGGCUAGAUUGUUUUCUGUGGCUGGAAAUGCGUAGGGAAAUUAUACUUCCUACUGAUUCUUCUUUAUGGGCUAGAUUCUGAUAUUUUUCGGUGGAAAAAAGAGGGGUGUUGUUCUGGGUUAUUGUGUAUUGAUGGCAUUUUUUUGGGUGAUUUGGGAGGAGAGAAAAGAGAUAUCUUUGAGAAUUCUAAAGGUGAGGAAAUAGACCAACUAUGGGACCCGGUUCAUUUUUCGGUGUGGCUUUGUGCUCUAAAUUUGUCCUAUUUUAAGGACAUUAAUAUUCUCUUUGUUUUGAUUGUUCUUGUUGGCUCUCUUGGUCACCUUUGUUGUUUUGUAGCCCUGAUGUUUCUUGUGAAAUAAAAUUUCGUUUCUUUUUAUAAAAAAAAUAUAUAGCUGUUAAUAUAAUUUUUUUCAUUUUUUUUUUUUCAUGUAAACCUGGUCAGACGAAUGAGAUGAUUGUCAUGAGGCAGAUUGUUGCUUUGAAUGUGCUAGAGGAGUAGCAUAUUUGGUGCAAUAAGCUUAUACUUUGCUGGUAUUUUCUUUCUUUCAACUAUGUGCUGGUUCAAUUAUUUGUAUAUGCUUGUGUUUGGAUCUAUGGAUACGAAAAGAAAAAGAAGAAUGAGGAUGAUGAAGUUGAGGAUCCAGAUUUAGUGGUAAAAACUGUUUGCUGCAUAUUUUUAGUUUUUAUCCAUAGAUUGAUAUUUAAGUUUUUAUAUUUGUGGUGGUAAAUUUUCAGAAAGAAGUGAAAAAGUACAAAAAAGUUCUAUUAAAGAGGAUGCUGUAGCAAAAGUACUCGGCCCUGAUCCACGAGGACGCGUAAGAGGAAUGGGGUUUGGGGCAACUGCUUCAAAGAUUGAAGGUCAAGUUAGUGUUCGUGAUCAAUUCAAUAGAUUGGAAAAUGAGGUUAUAGAAUUGAAAAAUCAAAUGAUAGAUCUUCUUACUCGAAUAGCAACAGGGGAGAUUAACAUUGUAAGUCCUUCAUAUAACAAAUAUUCUUACUCGAAUACCAAAUGUUUAAGUCAUAAAUUUGUUAUUAAAUUAAUGUCUUCCUUAAUGUUAUAGGAGAAGGAAAACUUAAGUGUCCAACAUUAUGCUAAUGAGAGUGUACAAAGCAAACAAAAUGUAAAUAAUAAUGCUCAAAAUUCUGCUAAUGAGAUGGCACAAAGCAAAGAAAAGGAAAAUCCAGCUGAGAAUGCAAAGUGUAAACUGUUAAAUUGGAUUGGGACAAGUGAAGUUGUUGGAAUUGGGGAAAUUGCAUCAAUCGAUCCCAAUUCAUUAGUCCAUCAUGUGCCCCUUGGUCACGAGUGCUAGAAAGUUUGGGUGAACGAUGUAAUGGAUGAUAAUGUGUCCUUGUAUCGACCAACACUUGAGUUCUUUCUUCUUCGUGAAGCAUUAGGAACUAUGAUUGCAUGGCUGAUAAAGUACAUCAAAUUAUGUUAGCGUUGCAUCUUUGAGGUAAAUUCUUCAUUCUUCUUUCACAUGUAGAUGGUAUAGUUUUCAUUGUAUAAUAAUCAAGUCAUGACUGUGCAUAUCAAUGUUAAAAGAGCAUAAGUCUAGUGCUUUGUUUCAGUCAUUGAAAAUUCAAAGACUCAUAUAUAUAUAUAUAUAUAUAUCAUUGUAAAUUGUCAUGUUUUCUACUGAUUGGGAUCCACCUUUGUUGUGAUUUUAAAAGAGAAAUGACUUUUUCGAUUUAUAUAUUUGAUAUCCUGCAGGUUUUUCUCAAAGGGUCAAAGAAUGCUCAUGAAUAUUGUCUACUGCUAAAGGACAGUAUUUUAGUAUAGGUUCAUGUUAGAGACUUAUUUUUAUUGUUAUUUUCACUAUGGAUUCGAGGCUGUGAAAAUGUUUGGGAAUGUUUGGCAGCACUCUUAUGUGUUUCUUAUGUACUCUUAACUUAAGAGUUCGUAUGUUGAAUUAAUUAUGAUGGUGAUUUCAAUGAUUAGUUUUUUAAUAUC
rnacentral:lncRNA from 1 species